GACGAACGCUGGCGGCGUGCUUAACACAUGCAAGUCGAACGGUAAGGCCCUAACGGGGGUACCUGACGGGCGGAGGGUGGAGUACCAGUGAGGUGAACAUCCCAGCCUAUUGUUUUAUGCCUGAGAAAGUGGGUCUACUUCCGGUAAGGCCUAAUCCGACCAACGCGUGUGGUGAAAAGCUGUUGCGGUGUGGGAUGGGUCCGCGGCCUAUCGUCUUGUUGGUGGGGUGAUGGGCUACCAAGGCGACGACGCGUAGACGGCCUGAGAGUGUGAGCGGCCACACUGGGACUGCGAGACGGCCCAGACUGCUACGUGGGGCAACAGGGGGAAAUAUUGCACAAUGAGCGCAAGCCUGAUGCAGCGACGCUGCGUUGGGAAUGACGGCCUUCGGGUAAUGAACCGCAUUCAGCACAGACGAAGCGUAAGUGACGGUAUGUACAGAAGAAGCACCGGCUAACUACGUG
rnacentral:rRNA from 1 species